ncrna:unclassified sequences ROOL RNA
UAUUUGAAUAAUCUCUAUGGCCAACUCGAUGAACAAAGCAUGCCAGUGCUUCGAGGCGCAUGGUACCUCUGGCCUUUAAUACAAGGAUACCUGUAAGAUAAGGUCACACGAAAACAGUGAUGUUUAGUGGAAGGCGGAACCGCCAACGGGAACAUGUGUCGCAGAACUGUCUGCAUUGAAAGGUUUGGAUCUUCCGGGUGCAACAAUAGACGCUCGCUGUGCGAAAAUAACCCUAAGGGAUGCCAGCUUGGCCGCUGGUACGACAGAGGGAUUGCCUCUAAUGCAUCUUGCCUUGAAUCAGAGAAAUCUGAGUAUAACGGAAGCGUCCAGAAAGAGUAGCCGAAUGGCAAUUCUACAAUCAAAUUCUGAAUGGCUGGUGAAUUUGCAGGUAACCAUUCCUGUACAGGGUUUGGCGAAAGCUGGGGCAAGAAGUCUAUGAUCGACGGGUUGUAGGCUCAGACUUGUCUCCCUGUUGACCGAAUAUCAAUGGAGGACAGCAAUGUGCGGCGAAGGCCGGGCCAUAGGGAUUAUUCAAG